rnacentral:misc_RNA from 1 species
UGGCUCUGGCAUCGAUGAAGAACGCAGCGAAAUGCGAUAAGUAAUGUGAAUUGCAGAAUCCAGUGAAUCAUCGAAUCUUUGAACGCACAUUGCGCCCGCCAGUAUUCUGGCGGGCAUGCCUGUCCGAGCGUCAUUUCAACCCUCGGGCCCCCCCUUCACGGGGGCGCGCCCGGCGUUGGGGAACGGCCCUCCCGCCGUCCCCGAAAUACAGUGGCGGCCUCGCUGUGGCCCUCCCCUGCGCAGUAGCACAAGCUCGCAGAGGGAGCGCGGCGACGGCCCUGCCGUUAAACACCCCACUUCUGAAAAGUUGACCUCGGAUCAGGUAGGAAUACCCGCUGA